rnacentral:tRNA from 1 species
AGUGGAUUGUGAAUCCACCAUGCGCCG